rnacentral:misc_RNA from 1 species
GAUGAAGAACGUAGCGAAAUGCGAUAAGUAAUGUGAAUUGCAGAAUUCAGUGAAUCAUCGAGUCUUUGAACGCACAUUGCGCCCCCUGGUAUUCCGGGGGGCAUGCCUGUCCGAGCGUCAUUGCCGCCCUCAAGCACGGCUUGUGUGUUGGGCCCCCGCCCCCCGGCUUCGGGGGGCGGGCCCGAAAGGCAGCGGCGGCACCGCGUCCGGUCCUCGAGCGUAUGGGGCUUCGUCACCCGCUCUGUAGGCCCGGCCGGCGCCCGCCGGCGACCCCAAUCAAUCUUUCCAGGUUGACCUCGGAUCAGGUAGGGAUACCCGCUGAACUUAAGCAUAUCAAAAGCGGAGG